UUCAAUUGACCGAUCUCGGUGAAGACGGCGACGAAUCCGGUGGAGGAAGAAGGGUCGUUAGGGUUUUCAAAAGAGAAAGAAUAGGAGGCGACGAAGAAUGUCUUGCAGGGUCUAGCGGUGGCUGAUGCCGAAAGGAGGCCCACCGCCAGAAUAGUCACCGCAACCACGAAUUGACUCCACCUUCCCAUUCUUCCUUCACGGCAAUUUCGUCGGAUUUUACGAUUUGAUUGCAAAUUACGAAUCGAGUCUAAUUCCGC
rnacentral:lncRNA from 1 species